CUCUGCGCUCGGUGAGAAAAAAUUGAUUUCUAGUUGAUGGUGUUGGUGGACGUUGAUGGAUGACGAAGGCAAGAUGGAGAAUUAUCUGAAAAAAUACACAGGAAGGAAAAGAUAUAUAUGACCUUGUUCAGAAACGCUUAAUGGAAAGACUUGGUUCCUUUGAAACGCGCACAAUUCCUCGCAUCGCUACUCUCGUUGAUCCUCGCUUCAAAAAAGAUGGCUUUCUCCGAAGUUCAAACGCAGACCAAGCAGCCAAAGCGUUGGAGCUGGAAUUGCUCUCUCUCUUAAGUCAACAACUCCACGACGUCUACCAACACCAGAAUCAACUCCAAACGAGGCAAGCAGCAAAUUUUCAUUUUUGCAAAAUAAGCCUAAAGUAAAGUCUAUGUCAGCCUAUAAAGCCGAUGUCAUUAUUGCCACAAUUUAUGGAAAAAG